GAUUAACGCUGGCGGCGUGCAUAACACAUGCAAGUCGAACGAUGAAACUUAGUAGACUUCUUCGGAAAGACACUAAGCGGAUUAGUGGCGAACGGGUGAGUAACGCGUGAGUAACCUGCCUUACACAAGGGGAUAGCCUUUGGAAACGAAGAAUAAUACCCUAUAAAACUAUAAAAGCACAUGCUGGAAUGGUCAAAGUGCUAGCGGUGUAAGAUGGACUUGCGUCUGAUUAGCUAGUUGGUGAGAUAAAAGCUCACCAAGGCAACGAUCAGUAGCCGGCUUGAGAGAGUGUACGGCCACAUUGGGACUGAGACACGGCCCAGACUCCUACGGGAGGCAGCAGUGGGGAAUUUUGCACAAUGGGGGAAACCCUGAUGCAGCGACGCCGCGUGAUUUAGAAGGCCUUCGGGUUGUAAAAAUCUUUUGUAUAGGAAGAAAAUGACAGUACUAUACGAAUAAGGUCCGGCUAAUUACGUG
rnacentral:rRNA from 1 species